GGCCAACUGGCCCAAUGGCAAGGCGCUUGAGUAAGUUUACCAUGUCUCACCAAUUGUUCCAAUAUAUAUUAACAUCCUUCCUGCUACGAAUCAAGAGAUUGCAGGUUCGAUCCCUGCGUUGGUCA